rnacentral:rRNA from 1 species
UAGUCCACGCCGUAAACGAUGGUCACUAGCUGUUCGGACUUCGGUCUGAGUGGCUAAGCGAAAGGGAUAAGUGUCCCACCUGGGGAGUACGAUCGCAAGAUUGAAACUCAAAGGAAUUGACGGGGGCCCGCACAAGCGGUGGAGCAUGUGGUUUAAUUCGAUGAUACGCGAGGAACCUUACCAGGGCUUAAAUGUAGUCUGACAGCUUUAGAGAUAGAGUUUUCUUCGGACAGAUUACAAGGUGCUGCAUGGUUGUCGUCAGCUCGUGCCGUGAGGUGUCAGGUUAAGUCCUAUAACGAGCGCAACCCUUGUCGUUAGUUGCCAGCAUGUAAAGAUGGGGACUCUAACGAGACUGCCGGUGCAAACCGUGAGGAAGGUGGGGAUGACGUCAAAUCAUCACGGCCCUUACGUCCUGGGCCACACACGUGCUACAAUGGUAUGGACAAUGAGCAGCCAUCUGGCAACAGAGAGCGAAUCUAUAAACCAUAUCACAGUUAC